rnacentral:misc_RNA from 1 species
AAGAUAGACUGAUUUCAAUUGAAAUUUUUCAUUUUUUACUCAAUCUCACCUUAAAAUUGGAAAACAAAUUCAAUAAAUAUUUAACAACUCCAACAUCAAAAAUAUAUAUUUUUUGAAAACAUUUUCUUUAUAGAAGUAUUAAAAAACUCUUAAAAAAUAUUAGAAAUUAUUUAUAUAAAAUAUCAACGAAUAAAAUACCAUAAAUAGCUACCAACACCUCACAUGAUCCUUUAUUGCACGUGUUUCUCACAUUUCAGAUUUGUGUCAAAUUGAGACUAUUGGAAUUUGAUGAGAUUUUACUUUAAUUU